UAUCAUAGUGUCAUCAUCUGUCACCUAGAGAUGGGGGUCUGUCACCGUGACCACUUCCAUACCCCUUAACCUCUCAGGGAGGUUAAUUUCACGGCCCUUGGAAAGCCAAUUUCUAACAUAGUGUCAGAAUAAGGUAUCACUUUCCCAGAACAGGGAGAGAGGCUUUAUCUCAGGAUUAUGCGAAACGAGGGGUUAAAAGGAUGAUGACCAGGAGAAAGGUGACCUUUCCUCCUCACUCCCCAACUCCUGGGGGUUCAUCCCCAUCUUCUUCACUAAAUAUAGCUCAGUUUAUCAAAUGGCCAGUUGAAUGUCAGGGAAAAUGGACCCUUUUCCUCAUAAGUGGUAGAUUAAUUGCUUUUCCUUUCACUUUUCUGAGGAUAG
rnacentral:lncRNA from 1 species